UGUGCCUGCUGAUUUCCCAGACUGGGAGCCUCUGGCAGGCUGCCGGCUCCACAUGGAGAUGGGAGCAGAGUUAACUCCUUCAUUGCCACCAACGAGGUGCACAAACAAGGCUUGGAAAGGCCUGUGGUCCUUCUGUCUCAUUCUGGCUCUUGCUGAGUGCCUGAGGUCACAGGGUCACUUGUCCAAGGGAAAUUAGAUGACGUUUCAGCCUCUUGAGCAGACGUGAGCAGCAGUGACAGAGCAAAACCAGAAAUGGCAUCACUGAAAUCAUCCAGCACCUUUUCUGCCAGCCCCAAGGUGGAUGCCAAGCUCCCUCCAGAAGAACUAACUUCAGUGGAAGUGUGAAAGACAGUUGGAAACCCCCUUUUUAUUUUUA